AACGAACGUUAGCGGCGCGCCUAACGCAUGCAAGUCGCACGAGAAAGGGCUUCGGCCCCGGUAAAGUGGCGCACGGGUGAGUAACACGUGGGCAACCUGCCCUCGAGCGGGGGAUAACAUUCCGAAAGGAGUGCUAAUACCGCAUAAGACCACGACCUCGAAAGAGGAUGAGGUCAAAGCCGGCCUCUAUACAUAAGCUGGCACCUAAGGAUGAGUCCGCGGCCCAUCAGCUAGUUGGCAGGGUAAUGGCCUACCAAGGCUAAGACGGGUAGCUGGUCUGAGAGGAUGAUCAGCCACACUGGAACUGAGACACGGUCCAGACUCCUACGGGAGGCAGCAGUGGGGAAUCUUGCGCAAUGGGCGAAAGCCUGACGCAGCGACGCCGCGUGAGUGAUGAAGG
rnacentral:rRNA from 1 species